rnacentral:tRNA from 1 species
AGCCCUGUAGUGUAGUGGUAACACGUUGGCCUUUGGAGCCAGCACCAGCGGUUCGAAUCCGCUCAGGGCUG